rnacentral:lncRNA from 1 species
ACUCUGCAAACACACAAAAGAAAAAAGGAAAAAAAAAAGUGAAAACGCGUUUCAUAGUAACAGUUACAGUAAGUUACAGAGAACACGUCAAACAAAAGUUUUAAUUUUCUUUCGACUUUUUAUCAUCACUGAUGAUAAAUCGAAUCAUUUUGUCAGAGAUCACCUUGUCGGAAGUCAACACGUUUUUGCAGCUUCAUAAUAAUCUACGCUUUCAUUUUAAUUUACGUAGUAUCUACGUAUACGUAGAACCAGAAGCAUGUGCUUUGUGAACUACCAGAAGCAUGUGCUUUGUUGAACUAUCACAGGGCCGUCUUUUUGCACGUGCAAGUGGAGCGGUUGAACAGGGUCCAAAAUUUUAGAGGGUUCAUAAUUUUUUAUAUUUUAGUAAUAAUAUAAAUAUAAAAUCAUAUAUUUAUAAAAAAAUUACAUAGCUAUAUGUAAAUUUAAUUUUCGUUUUUAUUAAUUACAAAUUUUAUUUUGUUAACAUAACCAACAAAAAGGCAAUAAAUUAGGAAGUAAUUAGCAUUUAUAUCAAUUAUAAAUUUUGGAAAGUAAAAAAAAAUAGCUGUUGGUGUUUGUUUUAAUAUACAAUGUAAGUUUAGAAAGUUAAUAUUCUAAUUUGAUUAUGUUUAGGAAAAUAUUAUUAAUUAGUGAUUAUAAAUAUGGAUAGAAAUAUAUAAUUUUUUCACCAAGUUUACCUUCAGUUGAUGAGAUCUCAACAAGUUUACCUUCAGUUGUUCCACAAUCUAGUGAGGAAUUAUUUAGGAUUGAGUAUUUUUUAUGCAUAGUUGAUCAAGCAAUUACUUCACUUACUAAAACGUGUUAUUCAAAGAAAAAGAAAAUUUGAUGAGAUCUCAACAAGUUUACCUUCAGUUGUUCCACAAUCUAGUGAUGAAUUAUUUAGGAUUGAGUAUUUUUUAUGCAUAGUUGAUCAAGCAAUUACUUCACUUACUAAAAGGUUUGAACAAUAUCAAGAGUAUGAAAAGAUUUUUGGUUUUUUAUUUAACCCUGAAAAAUGGUUUUCUUUAGAUGAUAUGACUUUAAAUAAUUAUUGUAGUAGUUUUGCAAAUGCUUUUAAAAAAGGUGAGAAUUUUGACGUUAGUGGAGAUGAAUUGUUUAUAGAAUUAAAAUUACUUAGAGAAGUUAUGCCAAAAGAGAUAGUUUAUCCUAUUGAUAUUUUGAAUUAUUUGAUGCGUGCUAAUUGUUUUCCAAGUGCUAUUGUUGCUUAUAGAAUUUUACUAACUAUUCCUGUAACUGUUGCAUCUGCAGAGAGAAGUUUUUCGAAACUAAAAUUGUUGAAGUCAUAUCUGCGGACAACGAUGAUACAAGAAAGGUUAAAUGGGCUAGCGAUGAUUGCAAUUGAAAACGAUAUUUUGGAGAAAAUCAAGUUUAAUGAUUUGGUCGAUGAUUUUGCAUCAAAAAAAGCUAGAAGAAUAGCGUUAUUUAGAUGAAAAAAUUAGAUUGGUAUAUCUAUUUUACAUUAUAACAAUAUUUUGUCAUAAAAUAUUUUAGGUUAUAAAAAAGGGCCUUAUUUUUUUUUUUUGAACAAGGUCUCUCUAAAGUUUGAGACGGCCCUGAACUAUCAGAAGCAUGUGGUUUGUUGAACUACGAGAAGCAUGUCUAAAAGUUGCAUUAGGCACGAGACCUAACGACUUUAUUUUUUGCCAAAUGAGACCUAAUUUCUUUUCAUGGGUUUAAAUGAAAUAUUUUUAAAAUAAAUGUAAAAGGUCGACGCAGAGAACGAAAAAAAAACUUUUAUUUUGUUUUUGGGUUUAAUAUCUCGGAUGGUAGGAGAACAAUUAC